CGGGUGUGUAGCUCAGCUUGGUAGAGCAACGGUCUCCAAAGCCGUCGGUCGGGGGUUCGAAUCCCUCCGCACUCGU
rnacentral:tRNA from 1 species